ACUGGGUAGGGGAGCGUUCUUAUCUGGACGAAGGCAGACCGGAAGGACUGCUGGACGGGUAAGAAGUGAGAAUGCCGGUAUGAGUAGCGAAACGACAGGUGAGAAUCCUGUCCACCGAAAGCCUAAGGGAUCCUGGGCAACGCUCGUCGCCCCAGGGUAAGUCGGGACCUAAGCCGAGGCGAAAAGCAUAGGCGAUGGACAACUGGCGAAAAUUCCAGUACCGGGCGUCUUCGUUUAAGGAUGGAGUGACGCAGGAAGGAAGCUGAGCGCGCGAAUGGUUGGGCGCGUCGAAGGCGGUAGGCUUGUAUGGAGGCAAAUCCCCAUACUAUAAGGCCGAGAACCGAUAGAUAGGAAAGACUACGGUCAAUCUGAAUUCAGCUGCACUACACUGCCAAGAAAAGCUUCUAACGAGAAGACGUCUGCCCGUACCAAAACCGACACAGGUAGGCGGGGAGAGAAUCCUAAGGUGCGCGGGAAAACCCUCGUUAAGGAACUCGGCAAAAUGCAUCCGUAACUUCGGGAAAAGGAUGGCCG
rnacentral:ncRNA from 1 species